GGCCAGGUGGCGGAGUGGUUAACGCGAUUGACUCGAAGAGUAACAAUUCGUGAUCAAUUUCCUUCGGGAGCACAUGUUCGAGUCAUGUCCUGGUCG